CCCGCUGAACUUAAGCAUAUCAAUAAGCGGAGGAAAAGAAACCAACAGGGAUUGCCUCAGUAACGGCGAGUGAAGCGGCAACAGCUCAAAUUUGAAAUCUGGCCUUCGGGUCCGAGUUGUAAUUUGUAGAGGAUGCUUCUGGCGCGGUGCCUUCCGAGUUCCCUGGAACGGGACGCCUUAGAGGGUGAGAGCCCCGUACGGUCGGACACCAUAGCCUCUGUGAAGCUCCUUCGACGAGUCGAGUAGUUUGGGAAUGCUGCUCUAAAUGGGAGGUAAAUUUCUUCUAAAGCUAAAUAUUGGCCAGAGACCGAUAGCGCACAAGUAGAGUGAUCGAAAGAUGAAAAGCACUUUGAAAAGAGGGUUAAAUAGCACGUGAAAUUGUUGAAAGGGAAGCGUUUGCGACCAGACCUUCUCCUGGCGGAUCAUCCGGUGUUCUCACCGGUGCACUUCGCCAGGUCGAGGCCAGCAUCGGUUCCCGCAGGGGGAUAAAAGCCCGGGGAAUGUAGCUCCCCCUCGGGGGAGUGUUAUAGCCCCUCGCAUAAUACCCUUGCGGGGACCGAGGACCGCGCCCCUGGCAAGGAUGCUGGCGUAAUGGUCGUCAACGACCCGUCUUGAAACACGG
rnacentral:rRNA from 1 species